GACGAACGCUGGCGGCGUGCCUAAUACAUGCAAGUAGAACGCCGAAGGAGGAGCUUGCUCUUCUGGAUGAGUUGCGAACGGGUGAGUAACGCGUAGGUAACCUGCCUGGUAGCGGGGGAUAACUAUUGGAAACGAUAGCUAAUACCGCAUAAUAGUAGAUGUUGCAUGACAUUUGCUUAAAAGGUGCAAUUGCAUCACUACCAGAUGGACCUGCGUUGUAUUAGCUAGUUGGUGGGGUAACGGCUCACCAAGGCGACGAUACAUAGCCGACCUGAGAGGGUGAUCGGCCACACUGGGACUGAGACACGGCCCAGACUCCUACGGGAGGCAGCAGUAGGGAAUCUUCGGCAAUGGACGGAAGUCUGACCGAGCAACGCCGCGUGAGUGAAGAAGGUUUUCGGAUCGUAAAGCUCUGUUGUAAGAGAAGAACGAGUGUGAGAGUGGAAAGUUCACACUGUGACGGUAUCUUACCAGAAAGGGACGGCUAACUACGUGC
rnacentral:rRNA from 1 species